rnacentral:rRNA from 1 species
ACGAACGCUGGCGGCAGGCCUAACACAUGCAAGUCGCGCUAGGACUUCGGUUCUAGCGGCGGACGGGUGAGUAACGCGUGGGAAUGUGCCCUUCUCUACGGAAUAGCCCUGGGAAACUGGGAGUAAUACCGUAUACGCCCUAUUGGGGAAAGAUUUAUCGGAGAAGGAUCAGCCCGCGUUGGAUUAGGUAGUUGGUGGGGUAAUGGCCUACCAAGCCGACGAUCCAUAGCUGGUUUGAGAGGAUGAUCAGCCACACUGGGACUGAGACACGGCCCAGACUCCUACGGGAGGCAGCAGUGGGGAAUCUUAGACAAUGGGGGCAACCCUGAUCUAGCCAUGCCGCGUGAGUGAUGAAGGCCUUAGGGUUGUAAAGCUCUUUCAGCUGGGAAGAUAAUGACGGUACCAGCAGAAGAAGCCCCGGCUAACUCCGUG